rnacentral:tRNA from 1 species
GACUCAGUGGUCCGAUGGCAAAGCGUUCGCCGCGGAACCAGAGGGUCCCGGGUUCGAUUCCCAACAGGGUCG